UCGAACACAUGUCAUUUCAUCACCAUGGGGGCAGCCAUUUUUAAAUUAAUACAAUAGAAAGAAACAUGCUAAAAACUCACUCAUCGCCUAAUUGACAUUCCAAACGGUUGACGAUGACAAAUGCAUUGGAUUGUAAUCUUUCCUUUGAUGUUUGCAAACUGCACGAUCAGACCUCAUAAACACUCAAAAGAAUAACUAUGUAAGAAGCAUUUUACCAAUGUUUACAAUCGUUGUCGAAUCACUGUACUUAUAUUAUUGCGCAUAAAAUAGUACGCUUACAGACUGACAGAAAGAUCGAUACAUAACUCCGUUCAAUUCAUCACGGUAUACAAUUCUAUCGAUAAUAUAUAAUAAUACAUCGCUUUAACAAUCUAAAAGUAGAAAUAAUUCUUUUAAACGGAGUUUUUAAUAACGAAAGUGAAAACAACGGAAGUUGGAUGGAUAUUCUGUGAGAUGCACUUCGGCUCCAGAAAAACAAAACAAAUAAACUAAAAAAGACGUGUGGGGGACAAUUUUCAGCUGGAAAAUAUUUGCAAUAGGGUAUGGCUCAAUGCUCCGAAUGCGGAAAAAUGUCGAAGACCAGAGCUGGAUUAUUGAGCCACAUUAGGGGACACGCUAACUCUGUAAACUAUAACUGUUGUGGGAAAGCAUUUCAGGAUGCCUACAAUCUUAGAAGGCUUCAAAGAACAAAGGACCCCAAUGUCACGUGUGUGUACGGUGCGGCAGGAGCUUUGCGGACAAGUACUUACUCGUGGCUAGAGGAAAAGUGCAAAAAAGAGGGAUUGGUGAAAUGUUACCAGUGUGGGUUGGCAGUUAGGAGUGAGAAUAACCUCAGAGAGCACGUCAAUACCCACAUGCAUGACAAGUGUUACAGUAGUGAGGAGUGUUUCAAAACGUACAAACGCCAAACAAACCUUUCUCGAUACGUGAGGACUUCACAUAAAUCCGUGAAUACUGAUUAAAAAUCAUAAUAGUUUACAGUUUGUCUGUGUAACUUCAUUAUCGUUUUACGUUAUUUUAUUCGUUGUUUUACUUUAACUUUACUUUUCAAAAUGAUUCUAAAGUUAUCCGAAUUUGAUUAAUUUUUAGGUUUCGUUUAGUUCGUUUGUGUGUUUGAAAUCAUC